rnacentral:rRNA from 1 species
GAUGAACGCUGGCGGCGUGCCUAAUACAUGCAAGUCGAGCGAACAGACGAGGAGCUUGCUCCUCUGACGUUAGCGGCGGACGGGUGAGUAACACGUGGAUAACCUACCUAUAAGACUGGGAUAACUUCGGGAAACCGGAGCUACUACCGGAUAAUAUAUUGAACCGCAUGGUUCAAUAGUGAAAGACGGUUUUGCUGUCACUUAUAGAUGGAUCCGCGCCGCAUUAGCUAGUUGGUAAGGUAACGGCUUACCAAGGCGACGAUGCGUAGCCGACCUGAGAGGGUGAUCGGGCACACGGGAACUGAGACACGGUCCAGACUCCUACGGGAGGCAGCCGUAGGGAAACUUCCGCAAUGGGCGAAAGCCUGACGGAGCAACGCCGCGUGAGUGAUGAAGGUCUUCGGAGCGUAAAACCCUGUUAUUAGGGAAGAAAAAAUGUGUAAUUAACUAUGCACGUCUUGACGGUACCUAAUAAGAAAGCCACGGCUAACUACGUG